rnacentral:lncRNA from 1 species
GCUGCGCACUUCGGUCUUUUACGUCGGCCUUCGCGAGCGUCUGGGCGGGUGGUAGGAACAAUGGCGCUGUCUUCAGUGGCACAGUGGAGCAGCUCUGAAGAUGCAAAGAUACACGAAAAAACUUCCAGAACAUCUGGGAGAAUAUUUAAUGGAAAAUCGCUUGGUUAAAACCUGACACUUUUAACAGCGUUCUGAGUGUGGACGAGUAGCCAGUGAAGAUAAUGAAUGUCGAAUGUGACUGACUAGCAGCUUCAUUUUGAAUGAGGGUCGCUGUCUGCCCAUUGAUAGAGGCCAGAUUGUCUUGGAAGUUCCAAAGUUGCAACGAUUUCUGGCUAGUGCCACGAGGUUUACUUGACUGUUGUGUGAAAAGCUGAUAAGAAAACCAUCCAGAAAAAAGCUCUUCGUUUUACAAACAUGAAAAUAAAACAUGUAAUUUUGGAUUAUGUUCCUUUUUGUUAUUACUUUUAAAUAGGUCCUGAAAUAACAUGGGGAGCAUUAAAUGGAAAAUCCACUAACCAGCCUUGUAAUCAAAUUACUGUGAGUGAAUGUUUCGGGUUUGUGCAGGGUACAAUGUAAGGGUUUUUGGAUCAGUGUAAGAGUGGAGAGACAGGAAUUAGAAGUAAUUGUUACUAAGCAAAUCAUGGAAUAUUUAGUUUUGAUGUAACUAUAAUUUUGAAAGCCUGGAUGCUUAAGUUGAGAAAUGGGGGAAUGAGAUACAGAAAAUAAGGAGCACAAUAGAAUAAUAAUAGCAGUUUAUUAAGUAUGGUCAUGAGGGAAGGUUACUGAUAAAACAAUCUGGUAAAGACAUUCAGGCUUGCUAAAAUCUAGGAAGAGGUCAUUUGGCAGGAUGGGUUACAUAAUGCUAUCUGAUACUACCAAAUAAAAUGAGAGAGAAGCCUUAGGCAUGUAACGUUUGGAGAUAGAAAAUGUACCUUCACUAUGAAGGUAGUGUGUGUAAGAUGGCAGUUGAAAGCAUUGCUUGUGUUUAUGUUUAUACCCUUGAUCUCUGAUGCCCUUACCUACCGUACUUAAAACUCUGUUAAUCAUUGUCUUUCUCCCCCUCCCACAACUUCUGCAUAAAAUUUUAAGAUCUGU